GGAAAAUAAAUUAAUUCAAAAGAGCUAUCAGGCUACAUUUGCUUCAAGAACAGGACCAAAUAGUUUGUAGAACUGUAAGCAGAUGGAAAUAUACUUGGUCCAGGUUAACGUGGUGCAAACUAUCAAACAGCUCCUAAGACUGAAAUUUUUUGUACAACUCAAGUGGAUCAAACCUGUGAUCCUGACGGUGCACAACUUGGACUCUAGCAGUGACUUGGAGGGAAAUUGUCCCUGGAAGAAGGAUUUUGCCCCCUCCAGCCGAGCCAUUGGCAGAGACACUGGAAUGCAAAGUGCUUAAGGCUGUGUGACUGCACUGAAGUGCCUCCUCUGAGAGUCCUGGACAUGGCACAGUGCCUUUGGGUCCGCUUCCCCAGCAGCUCCUUGUGAGACAGGAUAUUUCCUUAGCAAUGUUUGUUGGUAUUUGCACAGUGAGUUCAGACAGUGACUGGCCAUGGCUCCUAUCAAGCCACAAUUGUUCAAGUGACACUUCAGAUCCUCUGCCUGAUACACUGCCAUUGAGAGAGAUGGACAGAAUUCCCAUUAAAGCUUGCUUUAGGCAGGAUAUCCAACGCUUCUGGCUGUAAAAAGAUGGAACAAGCCUGCACACUAAUACUACUCUGAUAUUUCCCAUUUUGACAUGAUCCCCAAAAUAUCAUAAGUGAAGAAGUGACAAUAAACAUGCUUUGCACAAUUUUAAGGAAAAGAGC
rnacentral:lncRNA from 1 species